UGCUCCAGCAAUGCUGGUGUCAUGUUUGGAGGUAGCUGACUAUGGACUACAGUAUUCUCCCAGUGCCAGUCUGCAGUCACUGCAAAGGUGAGGUGCUUCUGUGUCACUAGCUUUGUUGAAAAUGCUUAAUAUUGCAAGGCAUUCUUGAAUAUUUGCUGCUGUAAUCAAAGAAUAGAAACAAUGAAAUAAAUUUUAUGUGUUAACUCUUUUUUUCUAAAAUAAAAUGUCUUUAUUGAAUUGAAUGAACAUUGAUUAUUAAAAAGAGCUCUAAAAAUUCUUUUGCUUUCAUGAUUCUUGUAGCAAUCAGAUAUCAGUCCUAAAAUCACAUUCUAACCUGCCUCUAUUAUACUUAUAGAGAAAAACGAUGACUAGCAUCCACAUACACUGUUCGAUUCUCUCUAUUACAGCCUCCCAAUAGAACAUUUCUUCCUGAGCCAACCUAUCAGUGCAGCUCAGACUCUGGAAGCAAAUGACCUCUCCUGGCAGAGCCUUCACUGUGUGGGGAACAUCAGAUUUGUGUAAAGAAGAUCACCUGUCUCUUCUCAGGUGAGCACUGUAGAGAAGCUGCUGCGAAGGCCACAGGUCACUCAGGAAAAUUUGGGGCAGUUUUCUAGGUUCAAGGGAGACUGGACAUCAAAGCUGCACUGGGACAUCUGG
ensembl:lincRNA Crnde colorectal neoplasia differentially expressed (non-protein coding)